UACAGAGGGUGCAAGCGUUAAUCGGAAUUACUGGGCGUAAAGCGUGCGUAGUCGGUUAUUUAAGUCGGAUGUGAAAUCCCCGGGCUCAACCUGGGAAUUGCAUUCGAUACUGGAUAGCUAGAGUUCGGCAGAGGGAAGCGGAAUUUCUGGUGUAGCGGUGAAAUGCGUAGAUAUCAGAAGGAACACCAGUGGCGAAAGCGGCUCC
rnacentral:rRNA from 1 species